rnacentral:lncRNA from 1 species
CUGAGAAGUAGUUCCGAGAGGCAAUCAGGCCCUGCAGAGGACCUCCUGCGAUAAUGGGUAGGCAGGCAGGAUCUCCUGGCCUACAUGUAGCUCAGGCUGAACUUGAGUAAACUAGGCAGACAGAGGGCACAGACAAGUCUGGAAGGACAUAGCAAGAGGAGGGGGCUAAGGCAAGUGGUUGACAAGGCCAGCAGGUCCUGUUAAAUCAAGCCAAACCUGACUCAGGGAUGAGUCAGAGGGCCUGAGCGUCAAUGUGUAUCGAGUUUAUAUUGUAAAGUUCCCCCUGCUGGCAUGAGCCUGCCCUACCAGGCAGGCCCUGGAGGGGUUGACCCUCAUGGCAGAGGACUAUUGGACUGACACUGAUCUAAAGUUGUUAGCUACCUCUUAGAUGUCAAUCCCAGCGUCUUUCCUCAGCUCCUCCAGCGCUGGGUCUCUUAGGCAAGCAUCAGUCACUGUCUGUCACUCCUCUUCAGUCGCUCCCCUCUCUAUGCAAACUGUUUCCAAUUUUCCUUCAGCUUUCCUGGUCAUUUUCUCCUUCCUUUCUUGCUCCCCCCUUCCCUCUCCCAACUCCUCUUUCCUCUUGAAAAAUUCAAUUCAUCUGCUGUCCUGCGGCUGCUUAUUUUGUGCUAAAUUCUAUAGCAAGAGCUGGGAGUAUAAAAGCCACGGCCCUGGCUUUUGAGGGGCUGAAGUUCAAAGAAAAACCAUCAGCGAAAGAACACGAUACAAUACGAGGAGCGCUGUCAUGACUUGGAUACCCGUGGUCUAAAGGAAGCACAGGGGGACGAAUGGCUGAUCUCGGCAUUGAUGGGGUGUUCCCAGAUCUGGUCCCACAUUCCCAACAGCCUUCUAGAAACUGCUACCAAAUGGAACUCAUCUGCUCUUCUUGGAGAAACGCCAUCCUCCUGUGUUCCUUCGGCCAUCCCAAGACCCCUGAUUACUAUCUCUGAGACAACUCUUGUGGAUCUGGAACUCUAAGAUAAGAAUUCCCAUCUUAAACCAUAGUGUCACACACCUAUAAUUCCAGCAUCUGAGAGCCUGGAGCAACAGGAUCACUUUGUGUUCAAGGCCAAUCUGGGUUACAUAGUGAAUUCAAGGGCUGGGUCAGUUUCUCCAUCAAGCCAUACUGAGCCUGACUGCAGCUGUGGAUCUGAGAAGCUCAGUUGGUUAGGCCCAUGGAAAAAAAUGAUAAAAAUAUCUUUAUGUCCCCAUGGUUCCUCCCACUGUACCACUCAUCCCCCCCCCCACACACCUCUGUGAUUGUUCCCUUUUGUCAAUUAAACCUGUUACCCAAGUGACAAUCUCUUCUACCCCAAACUGCUUCAUCAAGACCUUGGGCUUAACUGUCUGGUUUUUCUCGGCCACAAAGCUGAUGGAUGUUUAGUUUGAAGUAUAUAGAGGGAGAACAAAGCUCUUUUAGGUUCAUGACUUAAACAUCCACACCACAAAUAUGACUUUUGAAAUUCUGCUUAUUUUUUUAAAUUUCCUUCCCUUUCACUUUUCUAACAUCUUCUUAUUUGUUC